GGAUUAUUUACGAGAAUGGUAUGAAUUGGUUGGUGGAGGGUGGUGCAUAGGCAGCACCAACCCUAAAUUCUGACAACCAUUUUAAAAAAUUAUAUAUUUUAAUAGGUCAUUGCUUAGGCGGCACCAAAGAAAUACAGGUUUACCGAUUUAGUAUAUACCUGCUUAGAUAUAAGGGAAUGGUAUACGGGGGUGGUGCCAUAUUUGAUAGGUGGCACCAAUGACCUCUAUCUGAUAGGCGGCAUCGGUGAAGCAAAUUUGGGGGUCCUUUUAAUGGUCCUCGGUGAAGAAGAGAAGUAGUUUAACAAAAAAAAAAGAUAGUAGAAGAGAAGAAAGAAGAAAGGGAGAACAAAGAAAGGUGAAAAAAAAGUUUUUAGUAGAGAAGAUAGUAGAGAAAGAAAGAUAGAAAGCAAAAAGAAAGAAUAAGCAAAAAAACAAAGGAUAGUAGAGAAGAGGUAGGUGAAUGUCUCUAUGUUUUUUUUUUUGUUUUUUUUAAUAGAAAGGAUUAUAAAUGUAAUUUUUAUUGUGAAGGUAUUUUG
rnacentral:lncRNA from 1 species